GACGAACGCUGGCGGCGUGCCUAAUACAUGCAAGUAGAACGCACAGUUUAUACCGUAGCUUGCUACACCAUAGACUGUGAGUUGCGAACGGGUGAGUAACGCGUAGGUAACCUGCCUGGUAGCGGGGGAUAACUAUUGGAAACGAUAGCUAAUACCGCAUAAUAUUGAUUAUUGCAUGAUAAUUGAUUGAAAGAUGCUAUUGCAUCACUACCAGAUGGACCUGCGUUGUAUUAGCUAGUAGGUGAGGUAACGGCUCACCUAGGCGACGAUACAUAGCCGACCUGAGAGGGUGAUCGGCCACACUGGGACUGAGACACGGCCCAGACUCCUACGGGAGGCAGCAGUAGGGAAUCUUCGGCAAUGGACGAAAGUCUGACCGAGCAACGCCGCGUGAGUGAAGAAGGUCUUCGGAUCGUAAAGCUCCGUUGUAAGAGAAGAACGGGUGUGAGAGUGGAAAGUUCACACUGUGACGGUAUCUUACCAGAAAGGGACGGCUAACUACGUG
rnacentral:rRNA from 1 species